GCACUGAUGAUUCAGUGGUAGAAUUCUCACCUUCCGUGUCAGAGACCUGGUUUUGAUUCCUGGACAAUGCA
rnacentral:tRNA from 1 species